AUCAAGUUGUCAAUCAGAUGUCAAUUGUCAUUGUCACUGUCACUUCUAUUGAUUUUCUUUUCUCGUUUCAAAAAUAUUUUAGAAUUCUGGAUAGAAGAAUACCUAAAUUAUAAUAAAGUUACAGAAUACCGACAGAAUAAAAUGAUACGUAGCAAAUUGGUUCAGGUUUCGAAUGUAGCACGCAGUUUACAGGUUGCCGGAUUUUCUAGUGAUACCACGAGGGAUGUAGAUACUACAUAUAUGGAGAUUCCGUUGUACGACGUGGACAAACCACAAACAUUAAAGAAUAGAAAGGCUAGAUUACAGUAUCAAUCCCGCAAAAGAGGAAUGUUGGAGAAUGACUUAUUACUGAGUACCUUUGCCAAGAAAUACCUAGACGGUUUUACAGAUGAGCAAACUAUGAUGUAUGAUCGACUCAUCAACUCUCCUAGUAACGACUGGGAUAUAUUCUAUUGGGCAGUAGAAAAGAAGCCAACACCGAAAGAGUUUGAUAAUGAAAUUAUGGAUAUGCUGAAGAAACAUGCUAAAAAUGAAGACCGAGUUAUACUCUCCCAACCUCCGCUAAACUAAUGGAUUGAUGAUAAAAAAUAAUGUAACUAAAUUAGUAUUAUUAGAAAUUUAAUAGAAAUUCUACUAAAUGUUGUAGUAGUUGAAAAUAGAGGUCUUAGUAAAAUGGAUAUACGAGAAUCAACACAAGAUGCAGACAAUACGGUGCUGCAGUUCCCUGCUGCGGUACAAGGAGGUGGAGGAGAGUGCACAAGUGGAGCCCGAGACGAUAUCAAUUCCUCAGACCACACCGAUCCCACAAAUAGCACCUGAAUUUU